CUCUCCUUCCUUGGGUCUUGUCUAGGGUUAGAGUCACUGAGAUAUGUCUCUCCCUGAGUAAGUCUCACUAUUCAGAGAUUUCUGCAGAGAUGCUCAUCAAGCUACAGGAAAACACAGGGAAAGAUUUACUUUUAAUUUGUUUUGGUUACUUAAACAUACAUAUUUUUUCUUUCCCAGAUUCCCUGAGAAGAAAAUAAUGUGUGUAACAUUUUAAACAGCAGUGACCAUUUACUGAGCUAAGGGCUUCAUGUAUGCAAUCUCAUUUAUCUCUAUUACUCAGUAAGCUCUCCAAACUUGUGGUAAUCAGGAUCUCCCUGGCUUCUACUGAUGGACUUAUAGGCACAUGGCAGAAAGGAUGUGAAAUUUGGCACCAAAAACGCAUGUAUUUGUGAGCUUCACGAACUUCUGGUUUGUGGUCCAUAAAGCAGACAUACUAGUAA